CCCAGGAUGGUCAGGAGGAGGUGGCACCCAGGAUGGCCAGGAGGAGGUGCCAUCUGUGAACUCAAAAUACUUUACAAACAUUGUACAGGUGAACACAUUUGUAACCACCAAGUAAUGGCCAUCUCUAAAGAAGAAUACAGAUUCCACCAGUCCUGGGCCAGUCAAGCACACAACAGCUUUAAUAGGACAUAGGACAAAACCACCAGAACAACUUUCAAAGGAACCCAUACUUGAGUCAGAGGUGCAAGACACAUUUCUUCAGUCUCAUCAACACUGUGGAUCUCUUUGUAAAGAUGGUGUCCCUGCAAAGCGUCAAGACCAACAGGAAUUUUUCAUCCUGUGUAAUGGUGAUGCCAUUGUACAAAUGUUCUUGGAGGAAAAACAAAUAGAAAAUAAGACCAACAACCACAUAAAGAUUUUAGACUACAGUCUUCUAGGGCCCUAAAGCUGCUGUAGUUUCUCUAGGUCCUGUGCAGUUACAGAUUCUAUUCUUCUUUUUCCUGAGUCCAGGGUGAGUGACUGACACAUUGGUGUCCUCAAAUCUUGACUGGUGUCCUCAAAGAUUGAAUGUGUCACCAUUGUUAGACAUAUUAUGCUGCAUUUUGAAUUGCCAAUUAAUAGAUACAAAAAUUGAUGAUGAUGAUUGAUGAUGAUGAUGAUAAGAGAGAAAGCCUAUGCAGAGUCAGGCACAACUUAAACUCCAUAGUAGCAUGGAAUUCUGAGAGAAGUCUAUUAUUAAAGCAGGCUAGCAGUUUUAAUUGACGCAUUUGUGAAAACUAUUACAGAUCUGUAAUACUACCCAUGAGGAAAAACAUUGUGAUUCAACUGCUGGGAUGCAAAGAAAUGGAAAUGAAACAACAGCGUGACUUUUCCCCUUGGGGUUAGAGACCAGGACCUUUCAUAUUGAUCCACUGUGUGCUUAACAUGUUCAUAAUCUCUGGGUUGACAAAGUUUCAUUAGGGAAGAUUCAGACAGAUACAAUUCUAAAAACAAAAAGAUAAGAAAAUAGGAAGAAGGAAGAGAUGAGAAUUGAGCGCAAAUGUGCAACAUACUGGAAGAGAAAAAGAUGCA